rnacentral:tRNA from 1 species
UGGCUCAGUGGUAGAGUGCUUGCCUUGAAUGCAUGAGGCCUUGGGUUCAAUUCCUUA